UACGUAGGGUGCGAGCGUUAAUCGGAAUUACUGGGCGUAAAGCGUGCGCAGGCGGUUCGUUGUGUCGGUGGUGAAAGCCCCGGGCUUAACCUGGGAAUGGCCGUCGAAACUGGCGAACUGGAGUGUGGCAGAGGGGGGUGGAAUUCCGCGUGCAGCAGUGAAAUGCGUAGAGAUGCGGAGGAACACCGAUGGCGAAGGCAGCCCCCUGGGCUGACACUGACGCUCAGGCACGAAAGCGUGGGGAGCAAACAGG
rnacentral:rRNA from 1 species